AGCGUUGCUCGGAAUCACUGGGCGUAAAGGGUGCGUAGGCGGGUCUUUAAGUCAGGGGUGAAAUCCUGGAGCUCAACUCCAGAACUGCCUUUGAUACUGAAGAUCUUGAGUUCGGGAGAGGUGAGUGGAACUGCGAGUGUAGAGGUGAAAUUCGUAGAUAUAGGAAGGAAUACCAGUGGCGAAGGCGGCCUCCUGGAUCGAUACUGACGCUGAGGCGCGAAAGCGUGGGGAGCAAACAGG
rnacentral:rRNA from 1 species